rnacentral:lncRNA from 1 species
AUUGUGUGUGGUACAUUUUUCCCUGAAAUAUUAUUGUGUUGACUGGAAAGUUAUUGUCUUUAUGUGAAUGUAAUGCCAAUUUUAACCCUUUUCAUAUUUUUAAUGUACAUGAGAUGGGUUUAUUUAAGUUGGUCUUUUGCACCAAGGAUUGUUUUGUAAAUGACCCUAAGUUUAGGUAUGAAGGUGGGGAUAUUUAUCAUUCAGUGGAUAAGACAAUGAUUUCUGAUCCUUUUCUUAAGUUUGUGACCUGAUUAAGGGGGUGCACUCAAAGUUUACUAUUGAUGUUGUGAAAAUAUGAUGGAAACAUGAAUAACGUUAUUUGGAAAAAUAUCUAAAACCCUUUAGAAAUGAUGAGGAAGCAUCAUUGUUAUCUUUGUUUGUUGAGAAGAAUAAUUGUGAAGUUGAAAUUUAUACUGAGCCCAAACCAUCUACGGGUGAGUUGACAUAUAUGGCAAGGUUAAGAGAAAAACAAAAGGGGAAUAAAAGUGGUCAGAACCUAGGAUUGGUAUGCACUUUAAAGAUAAUGAAUAAGAGAGAAUGCAUGAUUUUGAUGAAGACUUUGAUGAAGGGUUUAGUUUUUAGGUGGAUAAAGUCGAGACUAGAAAGGAGAAUGUUGAUGUUGAUGAUGAUGCUACAAGUCAACCACCCAACUGUAUGUUUACCACAAAAGAGAUAGGUAGGUAAAAUAUCAUAUAAGAAGAUUACAUGACUUGAUGAACUUGAUAGUGGGGUAGAUGAAAAUAGUUGUGAUGACAACCUUGCAUUGAUUAGGUUUAAUGAAGAGGAAGCACUUACAAAGGAUUUCACAUUCAAGGUUGGAAUGGAAUUUUCAUCUCUGGAGAAAUUUAAGAAUGUUAUACUAGAACACAAUGUCUUGAAUAGUAGGAAGUUAAGAUUUUCCAAAACAAUUAUACCAAUAGGUGUAGGAUUGUUUGUAAGAAUGAAAAGCGGUGUAACUACAUUUUGCUAUGCAAAAGGGUUUUAAUAACUGCAACAUAUAAGUCGAGACUUUGUUUCACAGACACAAAUAUGGGAGAUAAUUCUUCAAUAAGAAUGUCAAGGUUGAUUGGAUUUCUAAAACGAUUGUAGAAAAGUUAAAUAACAAUAUUAUGACACUGAAAACACAUGGAGUUGUGGGACCUAGGAAGCAUGUAUAGGAUCCAGUUGUGAUUCCUGAAGAAGAAGACACAGUUGGUGGCAGUGCUAAGAGAAACAAGACUUGGGAUGAAAUUCAAAAGAGCAUGUCUCAAUGAUUUUUUAUCAUGAAUUAUGUAUCUCUUUUCGGGUUUUCACUAUGUUUUUAACCUAAUGAUUAUGUAUCAUCCUGACUUAUCUUAUUGUCGUACCUUAAAAAACGAGAACACUACCUCGUGAAGCACAAUUACACACUCACAGAAUGGACUAACAGAGUCGCCGUCAAACUUUAUUUAUUUCCAAAGAGGGGAAGGGAAAAUACUGAUAAAAUAACGACAAGGAUAUGGUCAUCGCAAGUAAAUCAAGGUUAAGGAAUUGAGUGCACAAGGGGAAGGUAUUAGCAUCCCUCAUGUCCAUUGUACUCAACAUGAGCCAUUUAGUUAGUUGUGCAUGUUAGUGUUAGCUUUUUAAAUGUUAUGCUUCUCGAGUUAUUAAAAAUAGAAUAAGACAAAACGAAUUUUUUAUUUAUUUAGGGUGCCUGAAGAGAUUUUUAAUCUCGCUCCUACGUAUCUUCGGGUAUGAUGGAUAACUCAAGGUUACGUAGUUCUGGGUAGAAAAUGUUUCUUUGUUGGUUGAUUUUAGAAAAAACUAUUUUGUCUCAAUCAAUGGAAACACAUUACUUGCUAGCCAAAACAUGCGAGGAGAAGGAGUUUGCAUUACAUUGAAUGGAUUUCUACAUAUCGACAUUCACGGGAAAACAUCACUUAUCUUAACUCACACAUUUGUGAAUGAAGCAUUGUUUUGAAUCGUCUCGAGGCGAAAACAUCUUUCAUUUAUGAAAAGGUUUGAAGAUCGUGCGGAGGCAAGAAAAAAGUUUGAUGUAUUUUGAGUGAUGUGAGUGCUUGGAUGGGAGAGAUAUCCAUCUCGUAUCUUAGACUCUAGAGCUCGUGGUAUCCACCAUGUUCCUUUUCCAUCUUAUUUGCAAAAUGAUUUGAUAUUUUUAGAUGUUUUGAGAUUUUUGAUUGAGAAACGGUUUGAAAAAGUUGCAAUGAAAUUUUUGAGUGAUUGUGAGAACUCAAAUGGGCGAGAUAUCCAUCUCUUAUCCUAGCCUUUAGAGCUCGUGGUAUACGCCCUGCUCAUUUUUCAUAUUUAUUGAAAAGUGUUUAGUAAGAAAUAAGUGUUUUGAUUUUCUUUUGGAAAAAUGAAUUUGACGUUGGAUCAAACAUUUGAUUAACGUUUGGGAAAUGGUUGUAAAAUUAUUUGAAUUGAGAAUGAGAUGGUUUGAAAUUAUUGAGGGUGAAAUGAAUUUGAAAUUGAAUGGUGGAAGCUUGGUGUUGGGAAAAUGUUUUUGAAAAUGGAACUUGGUGUUGACUAAGUAUUUUUAUUGUUUUGAAAGAUUGAUUUUACAUUUUGUGCUAUUAUUUAUUUAGUUCAUUUUAACUAACUAAGAGCAAUGGAAAUAAAAGCGAGAAAAUAAAUACAAAUUACAAACAAGGGAUGGGGUACAUUUUGUCAAAUGGGGAUAUAAUAAAGCGAUUAAAAAGUAAGUUCGUCAAACAAGUAAAUGCAAACACCAAAAAGGAAACUCAUUGUUAGAAGGCAAAAAAGUAAGUCAUGGGACCGGAAAAUACGCGAAAUCAAAAGCAAACUAAAUUUAGCACUAUGUGACACUAACUUAAAAUGACUUAAUGUAGGAAUCACUCUAUAAAAAGUCGGUCAACAAAAUCUAUGCGUCCAAGCGAAUUUCGGAAGUUAAAUUGGAUUUUAACUUCGAAAUCGCAAAGCAAUGAAAUCAAUGCAACAAUUAAUCAAAUAAUCUAUUUAAAAAAUUAAUUAAUUAAUUAAACCAAAAAUAACUAAUAAAUUAAUACUCUCUCAGGUUCUUUUUAAGUGUAAUUUUUUAAUUUUUUUACCGGUAUUAAGAAAGUUAAUCAUUAUUGUUACUUUUCAAACAAUAAUUCUUCUUUUACCUAUAAUAUCCUUAACUAUUUAUUACAUUUAUUUUACUUUUUUCCUCUGUGUAAUAAUUAUUUAGGGACAAUUUUGAUAAAAGUGCAAUUAAUAUUAUCUUGAACUUUAUAAGUGAUAAUUAAAAAGAAACAUUUUUUUCAAAAAAGUGACACUUAUAAAGGAAUAAAGGGAAUAAAUAAUUAAUUAAUUAAUUACCGAUUUAGAAAAUAAUCAAGAGAUAAAAAAUAAAAAACAAAUCUAAAUUUAAAAAAAAAAGUGGUGAAUGAAAAAAAUGGGCAGGGUGCAGAAAUCAAAAUAGUUUUGGGCCCAAUACACCAAAACACUAAAACCUCAAUUAAAACUAAAAAUAAAUAAAAAUAAAAAUAAAAAUAAAUAACAAUAAACAAGAGAAAAAGAAAAUGUUCUGCUAGAGAUGUAGUAGUGGAUAGAGGUUAAUGGCAUGAUAGAAGAAAAAAAACGAGAUGAAGUUCUUUACAUGAAUCAUAGAAUGAAAGUAACUAGUGUGUUUGAAAAAUGGUAAGGUAAGGUUAUGAGAAAGAAGAAAAGAUAUUGGUGAAAACAUGAGGUCACUAUAAAGAACAAAAUGACUUUUGAAUCAAGAAGAUUUUUUUUCCUUUGUUUCUACUUGGCUUUUGUUUUGGAAUACUGAGUGAGAAAUGAAGAUUCAUGAGUUAUAUAACCAUUCUAUUAGACUGCUUUGGCUAGAUGAAUUUGAUUUCUCCUUUUUGAAUGUGUGAGAAAGAAUGAAGUUAUGGGUGAUUCAGUAUAUGAGUUGAGAGAAACGAGUAUAUUGCAGCUUUUUGAUAAUAUCUCUCUUGCCUUCUUUUCUAAAAUCCGUUAUUUGAAAUGUGAAAGCCCAUCUUCAACAAGUGUAGCGCCUCGUUUGAUUUUUUCUUUCUUUCAGCAACAUAACUUUAUUUAUUGGUGUAUCAUUAGAGUUACAUAAUAUUAGCAUACCUAUAAAAUGCCUCUAAUGAAUGUUAUUAGUGUGAAAAUGGUUUUUAAAAAACUAAAUUAACUUAUUUUAAAUCAAAAUUGAAUCGAGAUAACAACACAAAACAUUCUAAUUAAUUAUUAAAGAUACUUUGAUAAAUAAAUAAAAAUAAAAGGAUUCAAAAUAAAUAAAAAUCAAACGUAAAAAUAUACAAAAAAUUAAAUUGAAUGCACCAAAAUGAUCAACGCAAAAUAAAAUUUAAAAAAAUAUAUAGGUUUCGAUCAAAUUUUAAAACAAAAAAUGAUCGGUUAAACGGCUCAGGCUGAUCAAACUGCGAUCGAAAAAAUAAAACGAGCACACCAUAUUACAUUAUACGAAUCAUAGAUUAAUAAAACUCACGUCCGCUAAUUUCACGUACAUUGAGAAUCAGUUUAAUUUAUUUUGGUAGAUAUUUUAUGCAUUAUGCGAUAUGAAAUGGAUAUUAUGACAUAUAAAUUAUACAAAUAUCAUGAUGUAUGUAUUAAUUUAUUGAAUGAAGGACAAAAUUGGGAUAUGACAAUUAUAUAUUGUAAUGAAUUGUGUAUUCUUUUGUUUACUUUGUUUGUAAUUUCUUUUGUGAAACUUUGUAGUAUCUUUUUUGUGAAACUUUGUACUAUAAAAACCUCUUUUGGUACAAGUUUAACAUAUGCUAAACUUGUCAUCAAUGUUAUCUAGUUUGGAACUAUGAAACAUCAGUGGUAUCUUUAAAUGUUAUCUAGUUUGUACUGUCAUAAAAGGAUUUUAGGAAAAAUGAUGGGUAAUUUUUGGGGUAUGACACCUACAUUGGUAGGACUUCAGACAACCAAGGAUCCAAGAGAAUUAUGGAGAGUUGAGUGAGAAUCGAAGAGAUGAAAUUUUCUAGAAAAUACCUUCAAUACAGGUCUGAAUUCAACUGUUCUUGCUUUGAUUCGUGGUUGAUCUUGCUCAUAACGCUUGGAGGAAUGGAUUAGAAUGAUCAAAAGGUCUUGGAUCCCCGGAGAUUUGAAUCUCAAAACAGUGAGAUUCAAACUCAAUCUCCAAUGGAAACACAUUAACACAUAUUUAUCACCUUCUUCAACAACUGACUUUUGAAUCAAGAAGAAUUUUUUUCCUUUAUUUCUACUUGACUUUUGUUUUGGAAUACUGGGUGAGAAAUGAAUAUUCAUGAGUUAUAUAACCAAUCUAUGAGAGUGCUUUGGCUAGAUGAAUUUGAUUUCUCCUUUUUGAAUGUGUGAGAGAGAAUGAAAUCCAUGUGAAGAGAGGAAGGUGAUUCAGUAUAUGAGUUGAGAGAAACGAGUAUAUUGCAGCUUUUUGAUAA